GGACGACAACUGACGCUGAGGCGCGAAAGCGUGGGGAGCAAACAGGAUUAGAUACCCUGGUAGUCCCACGCCGUAAACGAUGGAUACUAGGUGUGGGGGGACUGACCCCUUCCGUGCCGCAGUUAACACAAUAAGUAUCCCACCUGGGGAGUACGAUCGCAAGAUUGAAACUCAAAGGAAUUGACGGGGGCCCGCACAAGCAGUGGAUUAUGUGGUUUAAUUCGACGCAACGCGAAGAACCUUACCGGGAUUUGACAUCCCACUAACGAAGUAGAGAUACAUUAGGUGCCCUUCGGGGAAAGUGGGGACAGGUGGUGCAUGGUUGUCGUCAGCUCGUGUCGUGAGAUGUUGGGUUAAGUCCCGCAACGAGCGCAACCCUUAUUGUUAGUUGCUACGCAAGAGCACUCUAGCGAGACUGCCGUUGACAAAACGGAGGAAGGCGGGGACGACGUCAAAUCAUCAUGCCCCUUAUGUCCCGGGCUACACACGUAAUACAAUGGCGGUCAACAGAGGGAAGCAAAGCCGCGAGGCAGAGCAAAACCCUAAAAGCCGUCUCAGUUCGGAUCGCAGUCUGCAACUCGACUGCGUGAAGUUGGAAUU
rnacentral:rRNA from 1 species